UGGGGAAUCUUGGACAAUGGGGGCAACCCUGAUCCAGCCAUGCCGCGUGUGUGAAGAAGGCCUUCGGGUUGUAAAGCACUUUCAGCAGGGAGGAAGGCUUACCCCUAAUACGGGUGAGUACUUGACGUUACCUGCAGAAGAAGCACCGGCUAAUUUCGUGCCAGCAGCCGCGGUAAUACGAAAGGUGCAAGCGUUAAUCGGAAUUACUGGGCGUAAAGCGCGCGUAGGCGGUGUGUUAAGUCGGAUGUGAAAGCCCAGGGCUCAACCUUGGAAUUGCAUCCGAUACUGGCACGCUAGAGUGCAGUAGAGGGAGGUGGAAUUUCCGGUGUAGCGGUGAAAUGCGUAGAGAUCGGAAGGAACACCAGUGGCGAAGGCGGCCUCCUGGACUGACACUGACGCUGAGGUGCGAAAGCGUGGGGAGCAAACAGG
rnacentral:rRNA from 1 species